rnacentral:rRNA from 1 species
UCCGGGGGGGGCAAGCGUUGUUCGGAAUUACUGGGCGUAAAGGGCGCGUAGGCGGGUGGACAAGUCUCUCGUGAAAGCCCACGGCUCAACCGUGGAAUUGCGGGAGAUACUGUCUGUCUUGAGUCCGGGAGAGGAGGGUGGAAUUCCCAGUGUAGCGGUGAAAUGCGUAGAUAUUGGGAGGAACACCGGUGGCGAGGGCGGCUCUCUGGACCGGUACUGACGCUGAGGCGCGAAAGCUAGGGGAGAAAACGGG